UACGUAGGGUGCAAGCGUUGUCCGGAAUUAUUGGGCGUAAAGAGCGUGUAGGCGGCUGGGUAGGUCCGUUGUGAAAACUCGAGGCUCAACCUCGAGACGCCGAUGGAAACCCCCCAGCUAGAGUCCGGAAGAGGAGAGUGGAAUUCCUGGUGUAGCGGUGAAAUGCGCAGAUAUCAGGAAGAACACCCGUGGCUAAGGCGGCUCUCUAGUACGGUACUGACGCUGAGACGCGAAAGCGUGGGGAGCGAACAGG
rnacentral:rRNA from 1 species